rnacentral:rRNA from 1 species
CGCAACCCUUAUCGUUAGUUGCCAUCUGGUAAAGCAGGGGACUCUAGCGAAACUGCCACCGUAAGGUGAGAGGAAGUGGGAUGACGUCAAAUCAGCACGGCCCUUAUGUCCAGGGCUACACACGUGUUACAAUGGCCGGUACAGAGGGCAGCUACCUGGUGACAGGAUGCUAAUCUCGAAAACCGGUCUCAGUUCGGAUCGAAGUCUGCAACUCGACUUCGUGAAGCUGGAUUCGCUAGUAAUCGCGCAUCAGCCAUGGCGCGGUGAAUACGUUCCCGGGCCUU